rnacentral:rRNA from 1 species
UUGAAAGGGAAACGAUUGAAGUCAGUCAUGCUGGUGGGAAUCAACUUAGGGGAAACUCUGGGUGCACUUCUUCGCUUGGCAGGUCAACGUCGAUUUUGAAUGUCAUAAAAUAAUUGGGGAAGGUAGCUCCUUCGGGAGUGUUAUAGCCCUUGAUAGAUGUGAUGUUUGAGGUCGAGGAUUGCAACGGAUACCCUUUGGGGCUAGCUGCCUGAUCUCUAAUUGCUGUUGGGUUACGGAUAGCAUGCUGACCGUGAUCUAAUUACUGGUUAAAAGGUUAGAGCGUGCAUAAAUUCGUUAAGGAUGUUGACGUA